UUAUGAUUUACACUAUGUGCUUAAACUAGUUUUCUUAAUCGGGUAAUAAUCAAUUGUUUAUAACAAUAAGUUUGAUUAAAACCUGAUUUAAUCUGUUUUUUUUUUUUGUAAAUACCUAUUUACGAAAACGAGUAACAAUCGCCAGUAAAGUCUUAAUAUUAAAAAAAUCGAAGAGUGAGAGUACUUUUUUGUAAAUAACUAUCGACAAAUUUCGUGCAAAGCAAUCCCUCUUCAACUUCGCAAUUUCAAUUAAAUGUCAAAAGUAAGUCUCACGCGAAAUAUUCGAAAGCACGAUCGAAAUUAUCGACCGCAACCGAUUUUAGCCCUGAUCGGUGGUUGCCCUCCCCAGGACUCGACCCUUCCGGAGGGAGUUUUGUAUGCGGAUCUAAUUACUUCCGGUCGGUCGUUCGCGUCGCUCGAUACACAUAUAUCCGGAAUAUCACGAGUCGAAUCUGCGCGGAGGACGUCCCAUACAUCUGCUCAAGUCGUUUAAUAUAUUUUUCUCUAUCUCUCUCACAAGCAUCGUGUUAACACGCAUUUCUCACUUUCGAACCCGUGCAGUACUGGCUUCGAGUCUCGUCAAAUUGAACGCUCGAUCGGUAAAAGCUCGACGAAACGAGAUUCGAGAUGGGUGGUUCGACAAUGAGGAGAGUAAUGCUCGUGCUAGAGAGGAGCAAAACUGGACACAUAGAGGAGGUAAUUAGUCGAUGGUUCAUCAGUCACUCUGGCACAUAAGAGCCGUGCAUCCCUGACGCAUCGUUCCGAAGCAAAAAAGUGUUGAUCCUUUUCCUUGAGAGCAGCAACGACCCGAAGGAUGCAUUAAGGAACUAAUGAAACGUCGGAUCGGAACGUAUCCUCCUUGAGAGAAUCUUCUGGAAGGAGGUUUCGAGAGAAGGAUGCCGAGUGUGACGAUCUCUGUCGAUAGUUAAUCGCCUUACUCGAGGUAGAUCGAUUAUUCAAAUUCAUUGUCUCGAUUCGGUCUUUUAUAGGUGGUAAUUGCCGUUUCAACAUGAGAUGCACCUGAAAACAAAAAAGAGAUUAGUACAAAAAUUAAAAAAUAUU